UACGAAGGGGGCUAGCGUUGCUCGGAAUCACUGGGCGUAAAGCGCGCGUAGGCGGGUCACUAAGUCAGGGGUGAAAUCCCGAGGCUUAACCUCGGAACUGCCUUUGAUACUGGUGACCUGGAGAUCGGGAGAGGUUGGUGGAAUUCCGAGUGUAGAGGUGAAAUUCGUAGAUAUUCGGAGGAACACCAGAAGCGAAGGCGGCCAACUGGCCCGAUACUGACACUGAGGCGCGAAAGCGUGGGGAGCAAACAGG
rnacentral:rRNA from 1 species